rnacentral:lncRNA from 1 species
AUCAUCAUAAUUUCAUAUAAUUUAUAGAGUUUUCGUACAAAAUUAUAAAUAUUUUAAUAAUAUUCAUACAAUCCAAAAAACUAACAAAAUAAACUAUUUUUGUGUAAAUCAACAAAUUUAUUAGAUACCAAGCCUGCACAAGACGUGCAAAAGCUAGCAUUGAGAACAAUACAAAAGCGACGCCCAUACGCGUAACGCCCAAGACCAAACAGAAAGCUAAGAACAUAGCCAGGAGAUCCCGUAGAAACUCCACACAGCUAACACAAUUACAUCUUAAAACAAUCAUCUAGGAACCAACUAUUCAUGUAAUAAUGGUUGUUGCACAAGGUAAAUCUUACAUUAGUAAACCAUAGUUGCUGCACAGGGUAAAUCUUACCAAAUGAGAGUGUCACAGUAUACAGAAAUUAAAGACUUGCAAACAUCUGACACUAUCAAGCAUGAAAUCUAAUAGAAAUGAGAGAAAAUUGAGAGAAUUGAGUGUCAUUACGUAAUUCUUAAGAUUAUUUUCCAGUAUUUAAUAUAGUGAGUAUGUAGGUGCCUGUUAGCUGAAUGAUUUUCAGGUCCUUGUUAACAGUCGAACAACGAUGCUUCUUGAAUAAUCAAAUUUCAGUGGUGAAUAUAUGAGCUUAUAUGAGCUUAUCCUACACUCUUAUUGGACUUAUCAUACACUAACGAACUGUUGUGUUUUAUUGAAUUUCACUAAAUUAGGAAGUCAACUUAAACACAAUGCACACCUCUCUACAAUGAUAUAAAAUAUAGGUCCUUGAUACAUUGAAAAACAUUUGCGCAUACAUGCAUUGGCUACACAUUCUAUUUGUAUAGCAGUGAACAUGCAUUACCUAUUCUUAUGUUUCCCCAAUUCCACAAUCACUUGACAUUUAGCUCCAAACUCACUUCCAUUUGAAUUUGAUGCUUCCAACUACUCCAAUAAGGUUAUUGCUAACUAAAAUCAACACAUUAACAACACAACAACAAAAAGGUUAAAUCAAUUAGGGUUUCAAUUAUCAUUCUAUUGCAUGUAAAUAUCCUUUUGCUAUGAUUAGAACCUAAUAUGAGAAACUCACCUCAAUUAGUAUAUAUCCUCAAGAUUUUGAUGAAGUGUGUGGGUUCACCAAAGCUCUAAACUGUCAUUCUUCUGCCCUUAGUACUUCUUCAACACGAGCUCUUCAUCUUCUUCCUCGAGUAAUAGAAAGAGGAACAAAUGAGCUAACCUAGAUGAUGGGAAAACGAGAACGGUUGAGCAAAAGAGAGAGGAACGAUUGAACAUCAAACAAGAUCAAGUGAACACGAUUGAGAUGGAGAAAAACCCUUUCGUCCGAAAUGAGAUGAAAGAAACCCAGAUGCGUAAAUGAUUGUGGUUUUAGUUUCUGCUUGUUUUAAUUUUUUUAUUUUGUAAUUUUUUUUAAUUAUAAGUUAAAUUAAUUGGGGUAUUGGCGGAAAUAAAGGGGUAGUGGCAGAUUUUUUUAAACUGGAUGAACAUUACUAGCAGAUUAAUAUCCGCCAGUAGUCCAAUCCCAUGUGCAGCAUCA